GAGGUAGAUAAUGAACCUGUCCUAUAUAAAGACUGAGCUAAAUCUGCUGAGAGGCUGUGGAUAGUGUAUUUUAAUUAAGGUAAUCCUUAUUUGCAUCUAACAAGCAGCAUUGCUACUUAGAAAUUUAAGACCUUAGUGAUGCAUAUUAGUACAUUACCUCAACAAAUCUAAUAGAGAUUUAAUACUUAUGUUUUGAGGAGCUAUUUGUCAUAAAGUAAGAGUAUUUGCAUAGUAAAUUUCAAGGAUAUUAUUCUUUUCAGAGUUUUCUACAAUUAAGCAACACAUUAAACAUUAAAAUUUUAUAAUUUCUGUAGUGCUGGGAAUGCUUGCUUUGUUAUUAAACUGAACCUCAUUUUCAGCUGCACAUAACCCAAUGGAAAAGUCCUGUGUUAAUAAAGACAUAACGAAUGUACUGUCACUAAGGUUUUUUUCCUCUUAAAUCUGAGUGAUGGCCUAUGUAUUUAAAGAAUGUUUUAGCAUGCAAAAUGCAACUUGGAAGACAUCCAUUCAGUUGGAUGGAGAGUAUUUAAUCAUUUAAAAAGUAGGCCAAAGAGACUUAUCUCAACCAUACUGCUAAAUAGUUAUGAGCUGCAUCAUACAUAAAUUAAGUGUGCUCUAACUGGGGGUAUGGAUAGACUCUUUCUUUAGUCAAUUAAGUGUUUACAGUAUUAGUAUCUACUUUAGUUAGUUAGAGUAAAGGAAUUAAAGAGACCAUUUUAAUUAAGAAUGACAACUUUAUUCUCAAGGUCCUUUUUAUUUUGAUAGUUAACAGGAUAAUUUUAGCAUUUGCAUUUUAUUGAUCCAGAGAGAAUGAUUUUAUGAAAUAUAGCUUAGAAAUAAGGCUCAACAGCUGUGUUUACCUGUGGUCACGUAGAUUUGACUUGUGGUGAAGACCUCUGUCACUUAGACAUCUUUACCUGGGAGUAACUUAUGUAGGGUAUGAAGGGCAAGAUUCCUUUCCUACAAAGAAGGAAUUUAUACCUUGUUCGGCUUACCUUAGACUUCUGUGUGUUCUUUCUUCUCAUUAUCUUCUCCCAUAAACUAACAAAAUCCCUUUGCCUUUCCAACCAAGAGGAAAAGGUCUAGAAAGUGUUUGCCCCCAGUAUCUAGAGAGUUCAUUGGCUCCCCUUGCUUGUAGUAGUUUAAAAGAUUCCCCACAGCAGGGAGUGCAAACGUUUAAUAUUCAUUCAAUGAGAGUGAUGUUUCAAAGAACUAAUUCAGGUUAUAUGGGUGUGGGUGCUCUAUAUGUGGUCAUUUUUAAUUAAGCGUUGCAUCAGUUCUAAUAAGAAUGCUAAAAUAUUCAGAUACUUAGUUUUAUCAUAUGUUGGAGCCAGUAUAGAAGGUGUUAUUUCAAGCUGUGUUUACAAAUAAGAAAUGUUAUCAAUAUAUUUACUAUUCUUAUAUAUAAUUGGCUAAAAGUGUCUAAUAGUUGUAAUGUAUAAAAACUAGUUACAUCUAAGAGAUAUUAGUAAUAAAAUGUUAUUUGAAUUCUCUUAUCAUUAGAAGGGCAAGUUGAAGUUGUGGAAAUAACAGGCUUCUGAAGAGACUCACUCUGUUGUGGGUUCAAAUCUCAAUAUUGUGAUUCCUGGCUGGGUGAUCUUGGGCCUUAAUUUCUACAUUUGAGCAUUGGAAAUCACAUUGCAAGGAGAGAACAGACUUGUUUGUCAAGAACAAACACGCAGAGGUGAGAGAUCAGGAAACAGCGGGCCCAGGGAGCCAGGCUCUGCUUUGCUGAACACAGUUGGAAGGAGUGAGUCCAGCAGCCAGUCACCAUGAGGUGUCUCAGUGUCUGAGGAGAAUUUGUGUGAACUGUCAGCUGAAAGCAUCGACAGCUUCCCAUUAGUAAUGAAUUAUGGAAAUAAUUUUAUUAAUUUCUUCACCUCAAUCAGAACAUGUUAGUGAAAGUUGCUCAACCAAACAUCAAAGAACCAUUGCAUUUUAACCUUUUAGUCUUUUACCGUGUAACCAGGAACAGCGAAGAAAUAAAUUAGUGUAGCAUUCCUUUAAAAAAAAAAUGCCUGGAGAUAAGGAGUGGACAUAAUUUUUUCUGUUUUUAAUUUAAUAGCAGGUUUAUGGUUUUAUGCAAAGCCAUUCACAUUACAUUUGACCCUCUGGGAGCUGCUUUUUUUUUUUUUCUGUGGAUAUAAUUUUGAGUCUUUAAUAAUCUGUUGUUAAACCCAGUCUGAGUUUGAUUAAUGAAUUGUGAUGAACCGGUGCAUUAAUUUGCAGGUUUGGUCUAAUGCCCUAAAAGGCUGCUUUGUUGCUGGUUAUUAAUGCUCAACUCUUCAAGAGGAGCCAUGGGAUGGCAGUGUGUCCCAAGUAAUGAACAAGUUACACAUUUGAGCAGUCCCAAUGAUAGAGCUGUAGCUCUAGAAGUGACCAUGGAGCUACAUUAUUGAAAGAAAAAAAUCCUGAUUUAGCUUAAUGCCCUAGAACAGGGGGCCGCAGACCUCCAAAUCUACAGGUCUCUGGAUGGAAUUCAGGGGAAUCUGUGAAUUUCAAUAGGAAAAAAAUCUUUAAUUAAUCUCCAACUGAAAUUUAACAUUGUUCAAUUAUGAAUGUAGGUGACAACCAUAGUAUUCUUAGCUGUAUCUGUGACUUUGUCAUCUCUAGAAAUCACAAAUAUUUCCAGAACAUGUUAUAGAGAUGCAAGUACCUCACUAUGUCAUUUGGGCUUGUCACUACCUCAGAAUUAUAGUAAGUAUGAGGACAGCUGCCUGACUUGU
ensembl:lncRNA novel transcript